GAUGAACGCUGGCGGCGUGCCUAAUACAUGCAAGUCGAGCGAACAGACGAGGAGCUUGCUCCUCUGACGUUAGCGGCGGACGGGUGAGUAACACGUGGAUAACCUACCUAUAAGACUGGGAUAACUUCGGGAAACCGGAGCUAAUACCGGAUAAUAUAUUGAACCGCAUGGUUCAAUAGUGAAAGACGGUUUUGCUGUCACUUAUAGAUGGAUCCGCGCCGCAUUAGCUAGUUGGUAAGGUAACGGCUUACCAAGGCGACGAUGCGUAGCCGACCUGAGAGGGUGAUCGGCCACACGGGAACUGAGACACGGUCCAGACUCCUACGGGAGGCAGCAGUAGGGAAUCUGCCGCAAUGGGCGAAAGCCUGACGGAGCAACGCCGCGUGAGUGAUGAAGGUCUUCGGAUCGUAAAACUCUGUUAUUAGGGAAGAACAAAUGUGUAAGUAACUAUGCACGUCUUGACGGUACCUAAUCAGAAAGCCACGGCUAACUACGUG
rnacentral:rRNA from 1 species